UACACCUGCCGGAUCGAGUAAAAGCUAAACCGAGAGCACGCAACCGAAGCUGUAGCGAGCGUUAAAGUGUCGAACAAAGUUAAAGGCAUCACACAAUCUUUUGCUUUCUUGUGUGCGUGUGUGUGUGCUAGCUUGUCUCCUCCACCGACGAACAGCACAUCGAGGGUUCUGCGUGUCUCUGGCGCGGGGGUGAAGUAGUUUUCACGCCUCGUCGCCGACUCCUGCAAACUGGCACGGGAAGAGGAGCCUCGGUAGCUCCGCGAUACUACGCACUUGGCGUUUAUUUUUCAUUUUUUUUUGCCGUUGAGGGCUGCGGAGGUUUCGCACUGCAUUUGUACGCCCUUGCACACACACACACACACACACACACCAGAGAAAAUGCGCCCCUUUCGAUUGGUACAGCGGCGGCGACAUUGUAUCUCUCGCCUGCGCGCAACAGACGGUUUUGAGAGACAGCCACAGCAACGCCGGUCCAUCAUCACAAACACCUCAUCGUCCUACGCCCAAUUUGCGAGUGCCACAAGCGGGAUCGGUGCGGAGAUGAAGGCGAAGGGAUUCCACCACUCCACUCCUAACUUCAACACCACCGAGUUCACGGACGCGGCCGACCCGUCUGACUUGGCAAACGACAUUGUGACAGAGAGCGCCGUUGCGGUAGAGUUCGCGCGCGACAUCUACGGCCCGUGGCUGGUGAUGACCGACGAUUUGCAGGGUGAACUCUUUGUCGAUCACGAUGGCUUUGUGUACUAUCGCCCAGCCAACGGGCUCGGCUACGGCAUCGGCAAGCUGCAAGUGCUCGACGCCGGGGCCACCGGCACCGCCUUCACCUGCCAACUGGAGAGCUACAGCUACCAGCCGACAAACACGGUGGUGCCCCAGUAUGGCCUCACGUUCGACAUUACGGGGAUGGUGAAGCGGGUGACGGCAAAGUCAUCCGACUACACCACCUUCUCUCUGGUUGGGGUAUGGCGCCGGAGCAAUCGUAAUAAAGACGCCCCCGCGCUGCUUCCCUCUCAGCGGAGCUGCAGCGAUGCUGCGGUCGAGGGUGCCGCCGCCGCCCUGUCGCCGGAAAGCCUCGGCAACGAAGGUGCGCUUGGCGGACCAGGUGAAAAGACGAGCGGGCAGUUUAAUGCGGCAAAACUCUCCCCGUGGGAUCCUUCAACCGCCGCGAGGCCAUUUGCGCCGAACGCGGAGCUGCAAAGCGUGUUUGCGCAGGUGUUCCCAGGGCGUCUCCGGGUGGAGUCGCACGUGCAGCGUGCCGAGGCAACCCGGGAGCCGCCAGCGGCGCGCCAUCUCGCCGGCUCUGCCAGCAAACCUUCUUUGAUUCACCUCGAUCUGGAGCAAUAUGCUACGGGCAACAUUCCGGGCAUCUACUAUAUUCCUGACUACAUCUCGGCCGCCGAGGAGGCGCAAAUUCUCACCUUCAUUCAGGGGACCCCGGAGGAGCUCAAGUCGAAGCUGACCAAGCGUACUUGCCAGGAGUGGGGCUGCACAAUGUGCGAGAGCUGUCAAAAGAGCUUCGUGAGCGAUGCGAAUAUGCCGCCAUGGGUGCAGGAGCUCAUCGACAUGCAGGUCUACGAUGGACUCUUCACCCCAACCACAUUCCCUAACAGCGUGCGUAUACAUGAGUACCACCAAGGCGAUGGCAUCGGACCCCACUGUGACGGCCCCAUCUACGUGCCCAUGGUGACUGUGCUCUCGUUAGCCUCGUCGUGCCUCAUGAGCUUCUACCCAAAGCAGCCGCUUUACGAGAACCACCCGAUGGACCACUACAACGACACGUUCAAGUUUGGCGAGGGCGACAUCGGGAGACGAGUGCCGCUGCAGAGUGUGGUGAUGGAGCCGCGGUCGCUGCUCAUCUUCUCUGGGGAGGGCUACUACCACUACCCUCACGGCAUCUCCGACAAAGCCGAAGAAGUGCUGACGCCGGAUGUUGCGGGCGAGGUUGUGAACCGCCGCUUCCUGCGCGACCCGAAUGUGCAGUCGAUCUCGCGGACGUAUCGGGCGAGCAUCACAACGCGAAAUUUGAUGACGCGCUGCAGCCACCAGCCGGCGCGUGCCGAGUACGCGAUGAAGCGGGCUUGGUAUCUAUAUAACCAUCUGCCGGUUCCAAGUGAGCUGUUCACGCCGGCGCCGCAGCUUUCACAGCAGCAGCGGUCUGCCGGACUAUCCACCGGAGGUAGCUCUGGAAGUCGAGAAUUAAGCGACGGGAGCGCUACCCCAUCGCCUCAGAAGCGUGUCGAGAGUUCCUUUUCUGCGUGUGCCCCGCCAGGCGCCGUCGCCUUUGAUACAGAGUUGCGAGAGGCGAUAUACGAGAUGAGGGCAAAACAGGAGGAUCUCCGCAACAACGUGGAGGAGCUCAAGCAGCUCGUAGCGCUCUCGAUUCCUGCGCAGACGACCUUUCAGACGGAGACGGCCACCAUCUUGAACCACCUAUCCUCCUCGGUGCUUCAGCUGGAGAGCAAGGUGGACGAUCUGCUGGACGAGGUGGAGAGUGCGAAAAGGAAGAGUUCGACGGACACGUGAGUGACAUCUCGACGUCUGACACCUAAGCGUGGUGCGCGUCUGGACACGGCUGUGCCUUUUCUGGUACUUUGCCCUCCCACCUUUGCAUCGACCUCGCCGCCUUUAUUGAUGUUUGCUGACGUCAUUGCAUCAAGCCAUGCAGCGCUAAGGAAGAGAGCCAACGGAAAAAAUUCUCACAAACAGCGAUCCGUGCAACGGUGUCGAUGGACAGAUCACGUGGCACCAACUUGAUUGCCGCUCGAUGGCGCGCUCGCCUGCCUACCGCGAAGCAGCACCUCCCCACCGUGGGCCUAUUCGCCACUCGUCCAUUUUGUGUUUCUACACGCCCCCGCACGUCGGCCGUCUCUAUCUUUUCCUGGGCAACACCUGUUUCUCUUCCGUUGUGUGUUUGGCUUCUCCUGUUCUUGCUCGUCAUCUGCGGAUGUCCAUAUCGGGCAUCUGCAUACAUGCGGACUGGGUGAUAUCCCUCUGAUGUUGACCGCUCGCACGGGUGCAAUUCUGCCUUUUGCUCGCCCACUCUCACUCGCUCGCUUCCUCUUUCACCACAG
rnacentral:misc_RNA from 1 species